AGCUAAUGAGCUUGAAUAAGCUUAUGUCUUGAAUACAUAAGAUAGAAUCAUUGAUAUUCUAUUGGCUU
rnacentral:tRNA from 1 species